rnacentral:rRNA from 1 species
ACGAACGCUGGCGGCGUGCCUAACACAUGCAAGUUGAGCGACGAACCAGGGCUUGCCCUGGGGCAAAGCAGCGAACGGGUGAGUAACACGUGGGUAACCUACCCCGAUAACCGGGACAACCCGAGGAAACUCGGGCUAAUACCGGAUGUGCUCACUGGACUUCGGUUCAGUGCGUAAAGGAAGCUUCGGCCUCCGUAUCGGGAGGGGCCCGCGGCCCAUUAGUUUGUUGGUGAGGUAACGGCUCACCAAGACCGCGAUGGGUAGCUGGUCUGAGAGGACGGUCAGCCACACUGGGACUGAGACACGGCCCAGACUCCUACGGGAGGCAGCAGUGGGGAAUCUUGCGCAAUGCGCGAAAGCGUGACGCAGCAACGCCGCGUGGGGGAAGAAGGCCUUCGGGUUGUAAACCCCUUUCAGGAGGGACGAAGGUUCGGCGGUGAAUAGCCGUCCGGACUGACGGUACCUCCACAAGAAGCCCCGGCUAACUACGUG